AUGGUUUUAAAGCAUGUUCGGAGUCAUUCCUGCUGCCUGCUGUCCAGGGGUCAGUCACUGAACUUCCUGAAUCCUGUUGGUGUCUGCUCAAAGCAAAGACCCCUCGAGCUGUCCUUGUCCAGGCUCCUUCUUUAUCUCUCCAAGCCCUCCCCGAGGACACAGGUAUUACACUCCUUUCUCAAGAGUAUUCCUGUGGCUGUAGCUGCCGCAACAGCUCAGCUGGGCAGUGAGGAAGGGACAGGGUUUCGAUCCAAGCAUCAUUCACUGUCGCACAUGUUUGGCAGCAAGACCCAGCUCACUGUCUUAGGUAAGCCCAAGGCUCCCCGUUUGGUCACUCUGUUCCCGCCCUCCUCUGAGGAGUUCCAAGCUAACAAGGCCACCCUAGUGUGUCUCAUGAAUGACUUCUACCUGGGCACUGUGACAGUGGCCUGGAAGGCAGAUGGCAUCAUCAUCACCCAGGACAUGGAGACCACUAAGCCUUCCAAACAGAGCAAGAAACAGGCCAGCAGCUACCAGAGCCUGAUGCCUGAACAGUGGAGAUCCCGCAGCAGCUACAGCUGCUGGGCCAUGCAUAAAAGGAGCACCCUGGAGAAGACAAUGGCCCAUACAGAAUGUUCUUAG